GCCAAUAUGAUCAUAAACAGAAAUACAAAUACAAGUGUCAGUAUUUGACUAUAAGACAAUUCAGAAUAGGCUUAUGUUACAAUUUGUAAGUCAUUAAACUGAAAACAUAAAAUUUCAAAAUCCUCCUGGAGACCCCUGCCCCGGAAAAUACAGCUUUUGAUCCCAGUUUUCCCAUGAAUGCGUUCCUCUUCGUUACAAGAAGUAGUAAACCCAGCUGUUCAUCUUCAGGUGUGUUUCCGGUGGACUCUCUGGAGAGCAUGUAUCCCACCUUUGCUCCAGGGCUACGGCUGUAUGUGCACCUCGAGUGUUUCAUUACAGCAAUCCUGUAAGAUUGUUAUGCCUACUUGACAGAUAAAGAAACGGAGGUUCAUAGGGACUAAAUAAUUUGCCCAAGGUUACACCAACAGGAAAAGCCAGUGACCAGUCCAGACCCGGCGAACUCUGUCAAGAGCACUCUCUCUCCUGCACCUUCCAUGGGCCUCCCCACCCUGUCCCCGUCUUCUGCGUUUCUCGGGCCACCUGCUCAGCCCACCGGCGUGCUACAGGGAGCUGCACUCUAAAACGUUACUUCUGCAACAAAUCUCCCGUGUACUUCUGUGAAAAACGAUAUUCCGACCCAGGAACGCUCUCUAACCGCAGAGUCCUUGAACUAGACCUGGACUGCGCGCCGAUCCGCAGGGGCCUCCUGGGGGGGGCGGGUUCACAAGAGUGACAUUGGAGCGGACCAAUCCCCGUGGAGGCGCCGGCAAAGGGCCCAAUCACAGGAGAGCCAGGGAGGAUGGUGACAACCCAGGCGGCCGGGGACCCGCACCCCAGAGGCCCGCCUCCUGGACCCGCGGGGAUGCUCGGCUGGCGGGGGCUGAGUCACGGAGGAGCGCAGGCCGGGCCGCGGAGCCAGGGAGCAGCUGCCCCGCGCGCAGGCACCGCCGGGGCUCACCGGGGCCGAGGCCGCAGGGACAAGCAGGAGCCGAGCCAGUGCUGCGCCGUGAACCGCCGCCGUUGUCACUCUGGACGCGGAACGGA
rnacentral:lncRNA from 1 species